rnacentral:lncRNA from 1 species
CCAGGGCCCUCUCCCUAUUAUGCAUUAUCCCUUUUGUAUAUGUUCAAAACUACCCUAGAAAACCCAGAACCUGGCAUUUGUUUUCUAAGAUUGUGGUAGCCUAAGGUCAUUUAUAGGAAUUAAUGGUUCAUGGAAAAAGAAAAAAAAAAGUUCCUUCCUUUCCAGAAAAAUGAUUUGAACUGCCAUCCUCCAAGGAGAAUCAGCAUGAGAUCUUUCUGAGCAGUAUCUGGCUAGAAGAGUGAUGAACAUCACGGGGGAACCAGAAACAUUGGAAAGACUCUAUCUUCUGUAGUUUGAUAGCAGGCUAACAUACUUCAGUUGCCCGUGAAAGUGAUAUAUUGACAAAUGAGGGUCCCACGUAAUAAGUAGUGGUUUCCAUAGGACUCAAGGAAAGGGAGAGAAGCCCACAGCAACCCUGACAUCCUCUAGCUUCCAGUUGACAUUGGCACCCAAGAGAAGGCUUAAGCAAGAGAAGAAAAUCCACUUUCUCCUGGGAACUUUCCCCAGAAAGCUGUGAUGCCUCUCCAUCAAGGCUUAGGAAAGGAAUUGUUGAGCCUAGGAGAGCAUAUUUCAUGUAAAUCUUGGGGUGAGAAAGCAGACCAGUGGGGGUGCUUUUCUUGUCUCUUUUUAGAUAAAGAUACAUCCUGAGUUUUGAGGUAGAUUCAUUUUUUUUUUUUUUAACAAAUCCCAUCACCCACCCCAGGCAGUUUUAUUUGAUCCCGAGUUCAGUAAUGUGAAGUAAAGUUUCCCAGACUUUAAUGGCUUAAAAUGAAAGGGAAUCAUGUUUUUCUGUCUGAAACUGAAAAUCCAAAGAGUUGCACAGUAAGAAUGUUCAGACUUUUACCUUGUGGCUCAGCUACAGGAAAUGGGGAAAUUUGGGUCAGAUGUUUCAUUCACAUUCCAAGUUGAUAAAGGGUGGGAAAGUUUGAAGAAUUGUCUGAAUCAUAAUGCUACUGGGGUUAGAAGAUACAAGAUUAUUUUCCCCUAAAUUACUUUGGGGAAAGGGGAGGGGGUGCCAGUGGAAGAGAAAUUGUCGGUAUGCUCUAGAUGGCUUAGUGUGUGUACUUUAUUUUAACAAUUCCAGUAGGUGGAUUAUACAAGUAUAUAGAAAUGCAGGUCCUCAUUGUUGCAAAGUAAUUCUUGGUGGAAAUUGAAUGAUGGGAUCUAGAAGUUUACUAUUUAAAAUGUGGUCCAUGGACCAGUGCUAUCUGUAUCACCUGGGAGUUUGUUAGAAAUAUGGAGCCUUAGAGGCCCUGAUUACAGACCUGUCAUUGGGAUAAUGCAAGACACAGAUCCUUCCCAUAUUAUAGUUGAUUUAAAGACACAUUACUGGGUUGAUGUUUUGAUUUUAUUGAUAGUGACCUAGGAUAAAGUGAUUUUAAUAUCCAGGAACUGGACCCAGCAGUGAGACACCCUACCCUACCCUUUUAGCCUCACCUGCCAGAUACCACCCAUUCUAGCUGCCCUGACUUUCUCACUGUUACAACUGACCUGCUAGAAUUUUUCACAGCUCUGUGCAUUUGUGUGUGGUCUUCUCACUGCCUGGAAUGCUUUUCCCCUCUUUUCCUGCUUAUCAAACUCACCUUUGGGGACCCUGAUCACAUGUCAUCUUUUCUGAGCAAAAGUUUGCAUUUUCCCCAGGUCUGAUGAGUGAUCCUGUCUUCUGAUUAGAGACCUAUGUACUCUCCCAUGAAAUUACAGUAGAAUAGGAAAGAGUCAAUAUCCAUGUUCCUUUCUUGAGAUGUUCUGAGGAUCUUGAACUCCUUGCUAUCACCCCUCUAUCCUCAGCACUUGAUCCAGAGCAGGCAUUCAUUAUUGUUCAUUCAUUAUUGUUUUAUAACUAAAUGGAAAUACAAGUGACUGGCUGGGAAGCCUUCCGGGAUAUUUUUGGGACUUUCUCAGUCUUCCAGAGAGUCACUCCGGCUGGUUUGUAGCAAGUGUCUGACUCCUAGGGGUCCUGGAUCAGCACUGAUUGGAAUCUUCAAGUGGGCCAACACUAUCGUAGAGUCUCUCAGUGCCUACAUUCUCCUCUCAUACCCAGCACCUUAUGAUGCCUCUAAUUGCCCCCAGGUUCUCAUUUAUCCCCUGCACUGGGGCCUGGGCAAUAUCCCAUGUCACGACUUUCUGCCCCUCACAAGUCAGAGCCUCCCUAUGUCCUGAAAAAGCCAGGUACCAUUUCUGGAAGGCUUACUAUGUGCCAAAUGCUCUACACAACGUGUUUUAUGUACUAAGUCUCCAUUUAGUCUCCAUCGUACUUCUGUAAACAGUACUAUCCUUUCCAUUUCAUAUUGAGGAAGUCAUGGCUCUCAGUGGUUAAAUAAUUUGCUCAAAGCAAGGCGGUCAGGCGAAGCUGGGAUUCAAACUCAAGCCUGUCUGACUUACUAAUUGGUGCUUUGAAAUGCUGCUCUGUGCCACAUCAGGGGUAAUGAAUCAGCCAGAGUAACCCAUGAAGGUGCUAACCUACCAGUGUAUGUAAUUGAUCAAAACACUUGCGCUGAAUGGUGCAGUUUUAGAUACACUUCGCCAGGGGGAAGAGAAUAAUUACAAGUGACCACAGUAGAUGCCUCUACCUGGUCGAUUUUAACUUUCUCAAGCUCAGAUCAGUCUUUAGGGCACUUUGUUUCUGAGAUUGAGGGCCGCUGCCACCAGACUCAGCUAGUCCACACAGCCUACAUCUUUGAAGCCCAAGGAAGGGGAUGGGGCUGCCAUUUUGCCUUAAUGUUGUCCUCUGAAUUAAAAACCAUGCCAUACUUUUGUUGAUGUAUGUAUUUAUAUUUGGUUAGAGGAUAGGGUGAUCACUUUAAAAAUAAUGCCAAGAACAUGUGUCGAGGAGUUCCUGUUGUGACUCAGCAGGAUAAGAACCUGACUAGUAUCCAUAAGGAUGUGGGUUUGAUCCCUGGCCUCACUCAGUGGCUUAAGGAUCUGGCAUUGCCAUGAGCUGUGGUGUAAGUGGCAGUUGCGGUGGCUUGGAUCUGGCAUUGCUGUGGUUGUGGCAUUAGCUGGCAGCUGCAGCACCAAUUCAACCCCUGGCCUGGGAACUUCUAUAUGCUUCAGGUGUGCACCCCCCUGCCCCCCCAAAAAAAGAAAGAAUGUGCAUGGAUGUUCAGAUUACUUAUGUUUUAUGUUUAGUAAAACCUCUCUUUACCCCCUGCCACUCCAUGCAACUGCUUCCAUGAUCUCACCUUCCCCAUCUCCUUCCUUCCCUCCAUAAGAUACACUGACUCAUGUCCACACUCUGUCAGGGAGGACACUUCCCCUAGUGUGUCCACCCUCACCAAGAAGCAGUUGUGUUUACUUCUAAACUUGUUUAUGCCAGUUUUUUGUGUACAGGAUUUGUAAACAUAAUUUAACUAAACAUGAUAUAAAUCCAUGAACCAUGGGUAUGAAACAAAAUGCUGCCUUUUUUAGGAACUGAAAGGUUUGGGGAAGAGGUCAUAAAAGAAAUGUGCCUUAGUGUGUUGUUGUUGUUGUUGUUUUGUUUGUUGUGUGUGUGUGUGUUUAAAGUAACAAAUUAUAUGAGAGUAAGCAAGAGAGCUAAG